GACGAACGCUGGCGGCGUGCUUAACACAUGCAAGUCGAACGGAAAGGCCCUGCUUUUGUGGGGUGCUCGAGUGGCGGACGGGUGAGUAACACGUGAGUAACCUGCCCUUGACUUUGGGAUAACUUCAGGAAACUGGGGCUAAUACCGGAUAGGAGCUCCUGCUGCAUGGUGGGGGUUGGAAAGUUUCGGCGGUUGGGGAUGGACUCGCGGCUUAUCAGCUUGUUGGUGGGGUAGUGGCUUACCAAGGCUUUGACGGGUAGCCGGCCUGAGAGGGUGACCGGCCACAUUGGGACUGAGAUACGGCCCAGACUCCUACGGGAGGCAGCAGUGGGGAAUAUUGCACAAUGGGCGGAAGCCUGAUGCAGCAACGCCGCGUGCGGGAUGACGGCCUUCGGGUUGUAAACCGCUUUCGCCUGUGACGAAGCGUGAGUGACGGUAAUGGGUAAGGAAGCACCGGCUAACUACGUG
rnacentral:rRNA from 1 species